GCAGUCGAGCGCCCCGCAAGGGGAGCGGCAGACGGGUGAGUAACGCGUGGGAAUCUACCUUUUGCUACGGAAUAACUCAGGGAAACUUGUGCUAAUACCGUAUGUGCCCUUCGGGGGAAAGAUUUAUCGGCAAAGGAUGAGCCCGCGUUGGAUUAGCUAGUUGGUGAGGUAAAGGCUCACCAAGGCGACGAUCCAUAGCUGGUCUGAGAGGAUGAUCAGCCACACUGGGACUGAGACACGGCCCAGACUCCUACGGGAGGCAGCAGUGGGGAAUAUUGGACAAUGGGCGCAAGCCUGAUCCAGCCAUGCCGCGUGAGUGAUGAAGGUCUUAGGAUUGUAAAGCUCUUUCACCGGUGAAGAUAAUGACGGUAACCGGAGAAGAAGCCCCGGCUAACUUCGUGCCAGCAGCCGCGGUAAUACGAAGGGGGCUAGCGUUGUUCGGAUUUACUGGGCGUAAAGCGCACGUAGGCGGACUUUUAAGUCAGGGGUGAAAUCCCGGGGCUCAACCCCGGAACUGCCUUUGAUACUGGAAGUCUUGAGUAUGGUAGAGGUGAGUGGAAUUCCGAGUGUAGAGGUGAAAUUCGUAGAUAUUCGGAGGAACACCAGUGGCGAAGGCGGCUCACUGGACCAUUACUGACGCUGAGGUGCGAAAGCGUGGGGAG
rnacentral:rRNA from 1 species